rnacentral:rRNA from 1 species
CCGUAACUAUAACGGUCCUAAGGUAGCGAAAUUCCUUGUCGGGUAAGUUCCGACCUGCACGAAAGGCGCAACGACUUGGGCGCUGUCUCGACCAUGGACCCGGUGAAAUUGCACUGGUCGUGAAGAUGCGACUUACCCGCGGAAGGACGGAAAGACCCCGUGAACCUUCACUGCAGCUUGGCAUUGGCCGCUGGUCCCGCGUGUAGAGGAUAGGCAGGAGGCAUCGAUCCGGAGGCGCCAGCCCCCGGGGAGCCGCCCUUGGAAUACUGCCCUCGCGCGACCGGCGUCCUAACCCGAGGCCGUCAACCGGCUCGGGGACCGUGCCAGGCGGGCAGUUUGACUGGGGCGGUCGCCUCCUAAAGGGUAACGGAGGCGCGCGAAGGUCCGCUCGGGACGGUCGGCAACCGUCCUUUUGAAUGCAAGAGUACAAGCGGGCUUGACUGCGAGGCCCACAAGCCGAGCAGGUGCGAAAGCAGGCUCUAGUGAUCCGGCGGCCCCGAGUGGGUGGGCCGUCGCUCAACGGAUAAAAGGUACUCCGGGGAUAACAGGCUGAUCUUGCCCAAGAGUCCACAUCGACGGCAAGGUUUGGCACCUCGAUGUCGGCUCAUCGCAUCCUGGGGCUGGAGCAGGUCCCAAGGGUACGGCUGUUCGCCGUUUAAAGCGGUACGCGAGCUGGGUUCAGAACGUCGUGAGACAGUUCGGUCCCUAUCCUCCGUGGGCGCAGGAGAAUCGAUGGAGGCUGCCCCCAGUACGAGAGGACCGGGGUGGACGCACCUCCGGUGAACCGGUUGUCGACCAACGGCACGGCCGGGUAGCCGCGUGCGGCGCGGAUAACCGCUGAAGGCAUCUAAGCGGGAAGCCGUUCCAGGGAUUAGUUCUCCUUCCGGUAAGGGCCCAGGUAGACUACCUGGUCGAUAGACGGCAGGUGCAAGGGCGGCGACGUCCUCAGCCGAGCCGCACUAAUCGCCCGAGCUCUUCCGGAA